CGUAGGUGGCAAGCGUUGUCCGGAUUUAUUGGGUUUAAAGGGUGCGUAGGCGGCCUUAUAAGUCAGUGCUGAAAUAUCCCAGCUUAACUGGGAGGGUGGCAUUGAUACUGUAGGGCUUGAGUCGAGUUGAGGUUGGCGGAAUUGACGGUGUAGCGGUGAAAUGCUUAGAUAUCGUCAAGAACACCGAUAGUGAAGACAGCUAACUAAGCUCAAACUGACGCUGAGGCACGAAAGUGUGGGGAUCAAACAGGAUUAGACACCCUGGUAGUCCACACUGUAAACGUUGAUUACUCGCUGUGUGCGAUAUACAGUACGCGGCUAAGCGAAAGCGAUAAGUAAUCCACCUGGGGAGUACGCCGGCAACGGUG
rnacentral:rRNA from 1 species